rnacentral:rRNA from 1 species
AUCCCAGAAAGCCUAUCGUAGUCCGGAUUGUAGUCUGCAACUCGACUGCAUGAAGCCGGAAUUCGCUAGUAAUCGUGGAUCAGCAUGUCACGGUGAAUACGUUCCCGGGUCUUGUACACACCGCCCGUCACACCAUGGGAGUGGGUUCCACCAGAAGUAGUUAGCCUAACCGCAAGGAGGGCGACUACCACGGUGAGAUUCAUGACUGGGGUG